rnacentral:rRNA from 1 species
CCUACGGGAGGCAGCAGUGAGGAAUAUUGCGCAAUGGGCGAAAGCCUGACGCAGCAACGCCGCGUGGGCGAAGAAGGCCUUCGGGUCGUAAAGCCCUUUUCUGGGAGACGAGGAAGGACGGUAUCCCAGGAAUAAGCCUCGGCUAACUACGUGCCAGCAGCCGCGGUAAAACGUAGGAGGCGAGCGUUAUCCGGAUUUACUGGGCGUAAAGCGCGUGCAGGUGGCCGUGUAAGUCGGAUGUGAAAUCUCUCGGCUCAACCGGGAGGGGUCGUCCGAAACUGCACGGCUUGAGGGCGGGAGAGGGAAGUGGAAUUCCCGGUGUAGUGGUGGAAUACGUAGAUAUCGGGAGGAACACCAGUGGCGAAGGCGGCUUCCUGGCCCGCACCUGACACUCAGACGCGAAAGCGUGGGGAGCGAACGGGAUUAGACACCCCUGUAGU